UUAAGCGUAUGGUGUCAUGUUUAAUGACGGCUCGUGUUUCGACAUUUACUGUUUAUUGACAUUUGAUGUCAGAUCUCAACCAUCCUCCCACCUUUGCUCGCCCCGUGCGCUUCUCAAUACUGACUUUCACACCGCGGGUGUGUUGUUGAAUCUAAAGUUUUGCAACAGCAUAAGUUUAUUUAAAGGCAAUCACUAAUCAUAUAUAUAUAUAUAUAUAUAUUAGAUGUACCAGGCUACGCUUAAAGCCGAUGUUUUCUAUCGAGCUAUAGUUUCUGAUCAGACACAAAGUCUGAACUAAAUAAAAUUUUAAACGGUUCACGAAGUCAGGGAAUCUUUUCAUGACCUGGUCUACAGUUUCACGCGUAUUAAAGAUCCGGCGGUGUCUGACAAAGCGUCGGGUGAUUGUUCAUAUCUGUCAUUUAAAAUAAAGUUAAUAAAUGUAAUUCUGUCCACUAUGGCAAAAUAGGAAUUUAUUUUAGAUUUAGGGGAAUCUUUAACCAUGUCUCUGAUUAAAACUUUUGAUUGUAACAUCACAAGUUAUUUAAUUAAAUAUUCUGUAUACGGGUAUAGUUUAAGCAAUGACCUGAGCCAUUACCUUCGGAGCCGUCAAUACUACAUUCUUUAGACGAUAGUCUAAACUAAAUAAAUUUUUAAACGGUUCAGGAAUUCCGUGAAUCUUUUCAUAACCUGCACUAUAGUUUCACGCGUAUUAAAGAUCCGGCGGUGCCUGACAAAGCGCCGGGUGAGUGUUCAUAUCUGCCAUUUUAAAAUAAUGUUAAUAAAUGUAAUUCUGUCCACUAUGGCAAAAUAGGAUUUUAUUCUAGAUUUAGUGGAAUCUUUAACCAAGUCUCUGAUUAAGACAUGUGUAUACGUGCACAGAUGGUGACAGAGAAACUUAUAUAUGACGUUAAUAAUCUUUUAAAUGUUUUUAAGACGUAUUCACCCCAUUUUGGGGUUUUAUUUUUAAUUAAAGGCUUCUUAAAACAUGUGUGAAUAUGUGUAUAUUAUACAAAGAGUCUUAUAUUGUCUGCUCUGACAAAAAUAAAGUAUUUUUUAGGUUUAGGGGAAUUGACUGCGUGUGUCUUAUAAAUACAACUUGAUAAUACGUUUGUUUUGUAAAGAGACUUCUUUAAAGUCACGCAAGAAUAAAAUAUUUUAGUUGUAACUGGUUAAACUUAAAGCCGAUAUUUUCUAUCGAACUAGUCUAUUUUCUGUUCAGACACAAAGUUUUCUGAUGCUGAUAUUAUGUCAGUGUGUGUUUGUGUGGGGGUCGUGUGAUGUAAUCUUUGAAAGUUUAUGACCGAACCUUUAUUGGGGAGCGACAAGAGAUCUCCCGGAAUCAGUUUGGAUGGAGCAGAGCUGUUAUACUCAAGUCUAUUGGUAUGUAUGUGUUUCGCUGUGUUCGUUCCAGUAUUUUGUAUGAUUUAUUUAAAAACUAAAAAUUCGAUCUCUGGUAUUGCAGCGAAAUUGUCUAAACUGGUAUUAACUAUUCCUGGUAAAUCGCGGAGAAGAGUGGCCUGAACAAAAAAGUCAGACCGAGACUAGAACCUCCCGCAGCGUAACACGGAAAUCUUGGAACAAAAGAGACGCCGACUGGCUCGUGUUGUCCGGUUUGGAUAUCAGAGGCAAAGCGAACGUUGUGUGUACUAUUGCAAAAUAUAUAGCGGAUCUCCACGGUUAGGAUACAGACCACAACGCUUUGGACGUAUCUUUAAAAAAGAUUAAAAUCAGAGACUUUUUGGAUUUGUCUGGGGACAUUUUAAACAUUUUGUGGCAAAUUGGAUUUAAAACAUUUCGGAUACUGGAUACCUAGUUUGAUUUGUCCACAGAGCUUGUUUAAGACGUUUUCACCGCAUUUUAGGGUUUAUUUUUAAUUAAAGGCUUCUUAAAACAUGUGUGAAAAUGUGUAUAUUAUACAAUGAGUCUUAUAUUGUCUGCUCUGACAUAAAUAAAUUUUUAUAUUAGAUUUUA